CCUACGGGCGGCAGCAGUGGGGAAUAUUGGACAAUGGGGGGAACCCUGAUCCAGCGACGCCGCGUGAGUGAAGAAGUAUUUCGGUAUGUAAAGCUCUAUCAGCAGGGAAGAAAGAAAUGACGGUACCUGACUAAGAAGCCCCGGCUAACUACGUGCAAGCAGCAGCGGUAAUACGUAGGGGGCAAGCGUUAUCCGGAUUUACUGGGUGUAAAGGGAGCGUAGACGGUGAGACAAGUCUGAAGUGAAAGCCCGGGGCUCAACCCCGGGACUGCUUUGGAAACUGCCUGACUGGAGUGCUGGAGAGGCAAGCGGAAUUCCUAGUGUAGCGGUGAAAUGCGUAGAUAUUAGGAAGAACACCAGUGGCGAAGGCGGCUUGCUGGACAGUAACUGACGUUGAGGCUCGAAAGCGUGGGGAGCAAACAGGAUUAGAUACCCUGGUAGUC
rnacentral:rRNA from 1 species